UGUCGUCAGCUCGUGUUGUGAAAUGUUGGGUUAAGUCCCGCAACGAGCGCAACCCUUAUCCUUUGUUGCCAGCGGUCCGGCCGGGAACUCAAAGGAGACUGCCAGUGAUAAACUGGAGGAAGGUGGGGAUGACGUCAAGUCAUCAUGGCCCUUACGACCAGGGCUACACACGUGCUACAAUGGCGCAUACAAAGAGAAGCGACCUCGCGAGAGCAAGCGGACCUCAUAAAGUGCGUCGUAGUCCGGAUUGGAGUCUGCAACUCGACUCCAUGAAGUCGGAAUCGCUAGUAAUCGUGGAUCAGAAUGCCACGGUGAAUACGUUCCCGGGCCUUGUACACACCGCCCGUCACACCAUGGGAGUGGGUUGCAAAAGAAGUAGGUAGCUUAACCUUCGGGAGGGCGCUUACCACUUUGUGAUUC
rnacentral:rRNA from 2 species